AUCCAGCUAACGAGCCCCAAAUGGUACGAAACGCGCGUCCUGGAU
rnacentral:hammerhead_ribozyme from 1 species